CAUUAAUAAGUAAAUUAUUGGGUUUGAUAAAGAAAAUGAGCAGUUUGUUAUCUGCACCAGUGAAAUUAUGAAUCAAUAUUUUUACAUUAUGGAAAAAGAAACUCUAAACAGUGACUCUCCAAAAACUUGCACCACAGAAUGACACGUGAAAAUAAGCUAUAACCCAAGCUGGGCAGCAACUAUUAAGAAACAUAAAAUAAGCUUAAACAAUUUUUAUUAGGAUUUUUUCGAUUUUGGGCUACCUAUUUGUCAUUCAAAAUGUUAAAACUUCAUGGAUGGAUUUUGAAAAAAGAAUUUUCCAGUAUUUCUGGAGAAAAAUGAAGAAAAUGGAUAUCAAUCAAGAACUGUAGAAUGGGGUGCAAUGAAGGAUCAGGGAUAUCCGAGGUGAGAUAUGCCAUACAAAUAUACAACAACGGCAUUUAAAUGUAGAAUUGGUCUCAGGAACAAUUAUUAUUAGUAGAAGUAAUUGCUCACAAAAUUGAAAAGUGUUAUAGAUUUGGGAUCUGUCAUCUUAAAUCCCCAUUUUAUUGUAACUUAAAGCUCUUAUUACUUUUAUAUUUUUUCAAAAUAAAUAUUGUUUUAAAGAA